rnacentral:rRNA from 1 species
GAUGAACGCUGGCGGCGUGCCUAAUACAUGCAAGUCGAGCGAACAGAUGAGGAGCUUGCUCCUCUGACGUUAGCGGCGGACGGGUGAGUAACACGUGGAUAACCUACCUAUAAGACUGGGAUAACUUCGGGAAACCGGAGCUAAUACCGGAUAAUAUAUUGAACCGCAUGGUUCAAUAGUGAAAGACGGUUUUGCUGUCACUUAUAGAUGGAUCCGCGCCGCAUUAGCUAGUUGGUAAGGUAACGGCUUACCAAGGCAACGAUGCGUAGCCGACCUGAGAGGGUGAUCGGCCACACUGGAACUGGGACACGCUCCAGCCUCCUACGGGAGGCAGCAGUAGGGAAUCUUCCGCAAUGGGCGAAAGCCUGACGGGGCAACGCCGCGGGAGUGAUGAAGGUCUUCGGAUCGUAAAUCUCUGUUAUUAGGGAAGAACAAAUGUGUAAGUAACUAUGCACGUCUGGACGGUACCUAAGCAGAAAGCCCCGGCUAACUACGU